AUUAAUUGAUCAGAAUUAUAUAAUGUAUAUAAAGUAGUAUUUUGAUGUCUAUAUAUAUUGUGGAAUGCUGACCCAGUCAAGACUACUAUAAACUCAUAUAUUCACCUUUUUAUUUGCAUCAAGAACACUUAAGAAAUUUGAAACAUUAUGAUAGUAGUAUUGGUAACCAUGCUUCAUAUUACAUUCUACAAAUAUCUGUUUUCACAACUGAAAAUGCUAUCCUUUUACUAACAUCUCUCCAUCUCCAGUCUAUGCUUUCCUGAUUUCACCACCUGGGGUCCUUGACUGCUUGGUGUCUGCAUGUAAGGGAGAUGAUGCGGCCUUUGUCUUUCUGUGUCUGGGCUACCUGCUUGACAAAGGUCCUCCAAGAUUCAUUCACAGCCUAGAAAGUGUUGCCUUUCUCGAAGGCUGAGACAGUCUGUUAUAUCAUAUACACUUCACACACAGUCAUUAGUUACUUACCUGCUAGGGAACAUUUAGAUUAUUUCUGUAUCUUGGCAGUUGUGAAUAAUUCAGAAAAUAUAGGGGUGUGCCUGUAUGACAGGCUGGUUUCAUUCCAUUUGGAUAUAGCCUGGAGGCAGGAUUGCUGAAACACACAGCACUUCUAUUACUAAAUCUCAAAGAACUCAUACAUCAAAUUAGUACAUGGCUGUCACUUGAAUUUAUACAUGGAUUGAUUCCCUUUUCUUCUACAUGUUUGCCAAUGCUUGUUAUGGUUUUUAUUUUCAUGUGUAUGUGUUUGUGGCUUGCAUACACACACACACACACAUACACAUAUACGUUGUUAUGUGUGUGGGUACAUAUGUGUAGAAUCAGAAGACAAUACUGGGAGUCAUUUCUUUUCUUCCAAAUUUAUGAGUUACAGGGAUUGCAUGAACUCAGGCUUGUCAGGGUAACAAGGGGAAAAUUUUAGCUAGUCCACCCUAAAUUAGUAUAUUCUAGUAGUUUUUUGCUGCCAGCCAAGCUCCAGAUCCAGUGAGCAACCUUGUCUCAAGGAAAUACAAUAGAGAGUGGUACACAAAGUGGUACCUGACCCUUUUGUGCACACUCCACCCCAACACACAUAUAAAUAGGAUAAGAGUUUUAGAAAUAAAAUCCAUAAUUGUCAGUUAAAAUAUUUAUGGGGUGCCUACCAUGUGCUACAUGUUGCUCAAAGACUAAAGUAAAAUGUUGAACAAAACUGAUUUCCAGAGCUUCCUGUGUAGUGAAAGGAGACAAACGAUGAGUAUAUACAAAGAAGGAAGCUAUGUCAGAUGGGGAUUCCUACAGUGAGGAGGUAGAGCCUGGUUAAAGAAAGCUAGGAGCCCCUUGGAGGAGAAGUUUUUUUUUUUUUUUGUUUUUGUUUUUUUUUUUGUCUUGGAGGGACAAGCAGAGACUUGAAAGAAUUUAGAGUAAUGUGGCCCUCCAAGGAAAGAGCAAUCCAGAGAGAAGAAGCAGCCUUGAAAUGGAACCAUGAUUGAUGAAUUAAAAGAAACAGUGUGGGGAGCAUGUGAACUAAACCUUCAGAAGAGUGAUAGAUGAUGUUACCCUGAGUUACACAUUGGGAGAACUUGGCCUUCAUGCUGAAUGAAGCUAAAAGCCACUGAAGGGUCUUGAGUAGAGGCAUCUCGGAGCCAAUUUCGCUUUCCAAAGCAUCCCUCUGGCUGCUGAGGUGAAAAUAGACCAGAAUGCCAUCACUGAAGAGUGUGGAUAGGUAGAGGGUAGACUGCAUUGAUAGUAGUGAAGAGAGAAUGAAAUGGUUUCCGUGGAUACAUUCCAACCAUGUCUGUCAAUGGCUUAGAUAGGCCUAGGGUGUGAGAGAAAGGAGGGGAAAAAAGAGAAGAGAAGAC
rnacentral:lncRNA from 1 species